GGAUUGUGGCUCAGUGGUAGAGCGCCUGCCUAGCAUGGGCAGGGGGACCCGGUUCGAUUCUCAGCACCA
rnacentral:tRNA from 1 species